rnacentral:tRNA from 1 species
GGCGACGUGGCCAAGUGGCUAAGGCGAUGGUUUGCAAAACCAUUAUUCAUGGGUUCGAGUCCCAUCGUCGCCU